rnacentral:rRNA from 1 species
UACAGAGGUCCCAAGCGUUGUUCGGAUUCACUGGGCGUAAAGGGUGCGUAGGUGGCUCUAUAAGUAUGGUGUGAAAUCUCCCGGCUUAACUGGGAGGGUGCGCCGUAGACUGUGGGGCUAGAGUGUGGGAGAGGAAAGUGGAAUUCCUGGUGUAGCGGUGAAAUGCGUAGAUAUCAGGAGGAACACCGGUGGUGUAAACGGCUUUCUGGACCAUAACUGACACUGAGGCACGAAAGCGUGGGUAGCAAACAGG